AAAAGCGGUCAGUCUAAAAAAAAAAUCUCAAAAACUCACACAACCUUCGAAAUGGAUAGAAGGAAAGGGUCUAAAAUGAGGGUGCUGUACGACUGAAGCCAGGAUAUUUUCUUAUGUGUGAGGGUCUCUGUGGGUUGGAGCCAAAGCCAAUGCUGGCCAUCAUCAAGCCCAAGGCAGGAAGCCUCUCUGGACAGGGUGCAAGUCUACUGCAGAUAUGCUAUAACAGAGGUGAACUCAGAUGAGAAUGAAGGUUCUACAUUGGAGAAAGAGAACAGAAGCCGUCCCCACAAGAAAUGUCCACUCACACAUAAGAACAGUGCAGCUGCACCACGCGUAAAGGCGAGAGAUGGCACAGCACCAUUUGGAUGCAGCAAGAGGUCAGGCCUCGUCCUGCCAGUGAAUAUGCCACACGCAUGUUCUUCAACGAAACAGAAGGGCUGACAGAGCUC